rnacentral:rRNA from 1 species
UUAUUUGAUAGUACCUUACUACUUGGAUAACCGUGGUAAUUCUAGAGCUAAUACAUGCUAAAAAUCCCGACUUCGGAAGGGAUGUAUUUAUUAGAUUAAAAACCAAUGCCCUCUGGGCUCUCUGGUGAUUCAUGAUAACUUCUCGAAUCGCAUGGCCUUGCGCCGGCGAUGGUUCAUUCAAAUUUCUUCCCUAUCAACUUUCGAUGUUUGGGUAGUGGCCAAACAUGGUUGCAACGGGUAACGGAGGGUUAGGGCUCGACCCCGGAGAAGGAGCCUGAGAAACGGCUACUACAUCCAAGGAAGGCAGCAGGCGCGCAAAUUACCCAAUCCCGAUUCGGGGAGGUAGUGACAAUAAAUACUGAUACAGGGCUCUUUUGGGUCUUGUAAUUGGAAUGAGUACAAUUUAAAUCCCUUAACGAGGAACAAUUGGAGGGCAAGUCUGGUGCCAGCAGCCGCGGUAAUUCCAGCUCCAAUAGCGUAUAUUAAAGUUGUUGUGGUUAAAAAGCUCGUAGUUGAACCUUGGGCCUGGUUGGCCGGUCCGCCUCACCGCGUGUACUGGUCCGGCCGGGCCUUUCCCUCUGUGGAACCCCAUGCCCUUCACUGGGUGUGGCGGGGAAACAGGACUUUUACUUUGAAAAAAUUAGAGUGCUCCAGGCAGGCCUAUGCUCGAAUACAUUAGCAUGGAAUAAUAAAAUAGGACGUGCGGUUCUAUUUUGUUGGUUUCUAGGACCGCCGUAAUGAUUAAUAGGGACAGUCGGGGGCAUCAGUAUUCAAUUGUCAGAGGUGAAAUUCUUGGAUUUAUUGAAGACUAACUACUGCGAAAGCAUUUGCCAAGGAUGUUUUCAUUAAUCAGGAACGAAAGUUAGGGGAUCGAAGACGAUCAGAUACCGUCGUAGUCUUAACCAUAAACUAUGCCGACUAGGGAUCGGACGAUGUUAUUUUUUGACUCGUUCGGCACC